rnacentral:tRNA from 1 species
AUCUGGGUGGCUCAGUCGGUUAAGCAUCUGACUUGGGCUCAGGUCAUGUUCUCUCAGUCCAUGGGUUCGAGCCCCACCUCAGGCC